UACGUAGGGUGCAAGCGUUAAUCGGAAUUACUGGGCGUAAAGCGUGCGCAGGCGGUUGUGCAAGACAGAUGUGAAAUCCCCGGGCUUAACCUGGGAAUUGCAUUUGUGACUGCACAGCUAGAGUGUGUCAGAGGGGGGUAGAAUUCCACGUGUAGCAGUGAAAUGCGUAGAUAUGUGGAGGAAUACCGAUGGCGAAGGCAGCCCCCUGGGAUAACACUGACGCUCAUGCACGAAAGCGUGGGGAGCAAACAGG
rnacentral:rRNA from 1 species